rnacentral:rRNA from 1 species
AGGACGAACGCUGGCGGCGCGCUUAACACAUGCAAGUCGAGCGAUAACCACUCCUUCGGGAGCGGGGAAAGCGGCGAACGGGUGAGUAACACGUGGGUAAUCAACCCUCAGUACCGGGAUAGCCCGAGGAAACUCGGAUUAAUACCGGAUGGCCCAACAGCUCUUCGGGGCGGUUGGAAAAGGUAGCUUCGGCCUCCGACUGAGGACGAGCCCGCGGCGGAUUAGCUUGUUGGCGGGGUAACGCCCACCAAGGCGACGAUCCGUAGCUGGUCUGAGAGGACGAUCAGCCACACUGGGACUGAGACACGGCCCAGACUCCUACGGGAGGCAGCAGUGGGGAAUCUUGCACAAUGGGCGAAAGCCUGAUGCAGCGACGCCGCGUGAGGGAAGAAGGCUUUCGGGUUGUAAACCUCUUUCAGGAGGGACGAAGCUACUCGGGUUAAUAGCCCAGAGGGUGACGGUACCUCCAGAAGAAGCCCCGGCUAACGUACGCGCCAGCAGCCGCGGU